GACGAACGCUGGCGGCGUGCUUAACACAUGCAAGUCGAACGGAAAGGCCCUGCUUUUGUGGGGUGCUCGAGUGGCGAACGGGUGAGUAACACGUGAGUAACCUGCCCUUGACUUUGGGAUAACUUCAGGAAACUGGGGCUAAUACCGGAUAGGAGCUCCUGCUGCAUGGUGGGGGUUGGAAAGUUUCGGCGGUUGGGGAUGGACUCGCGGCUUAUCAGCUUGUUGGUGGGGUAGUGGCUUACCAAGGCUUUGACGGGUAGCCGGCCUGAGAGGGUGACCGGCGACAUUGGGACUGAGAUACGGCGCAGACUGCUACGGGAGGCAGCAGUGGGGAAUAUUGCACAAUGGGCGGAAGCCUGAUGCAGCAACGCCGCGUGCGGGAUGACGGCCUUCGGGUUGUAAACCGCUUUCGCCUGUGACGAAGCGUGAGUGACGGUAAUGGGUAAAGAAGCACCGGCUAACUACGUG
rnacentral:rRNA from 1 species